CCAGACGGCCGGACGGCCGCGGGCGCUUCGGCGCCCGAGGAAAGUCCGGGCUCCACGGAAACGAGGGUGCCGGGUAACGCCCGGCGGGCGCGAGCCCAGGGACAGUGCAACAGAGAAAGACCGCCAAAGCCGGGCGUGCGGGGUUCCCCCGCAAACCCGGCCGGCCAGGGUGUAAAGGGGGGGUAAGAGCCCACCGCGGACGCGGCAACGCGGACGGCACGGCAAACCCCACCCGGAGCAAGACCAAAUAGGGGCGGCACGCGCGGACGCGAGUUCGCGCAAGUCUGUUUCCGGACCGCCGCCCGGGUCGGUUGCUUGAGGCCGUCCGCAAGGACGGUCCCAGAGGAAUGGUCGUCGACGCCCGGCGACGGGCGCCACAGAACCCGGCUUACAGGCCGUCUGGCACU
rnacentral:RNase_P_RNA from 1 species